rnacentral:lncRNA from 1 species
CUCAGGUGCCACUCAAAAUUAUGACCUCGCAAUAUGGAGAGUUUCAUACUCUUGCUGUCCACUUCAAGUUUCUGUACAGUACACAGAAGAUUCCUCUUUUAUUUUCACUUUUCUGAGCUGUUUCCUCAAAGAAAGGUAGUAAAUUGCGAGAAGAAAGUCGAAGGGAAGAAGAAAACAAAUGAGAUACUCCACAAAGAUAAAUAUUCUUAUACCCAUACAAAAUGCACAACUAAGAAACCGAAGACUUGUGCUUACUGUAUAUCCCAGGUCCCUCUUUAAUGAAGUGUAAGUAUGAGCUCUAGUGUCUGUGGAUACAUUUUAAUUAGAGAUCUUGGCUAUUGUUUAACUAUGAUAAUUUCCCCUGAGAUUUCUAUUCAGCUGAUUUCACUUCUCUUUCCCCUCAGCCCUUGCCCAGAGCUACUGGAACAUCAGUGCUAUGAUCAGAGUGUGUCCUAACAGCAGCUGCAUUUCAGUGUCCCGUCUACAUUUAAGGUUUCUGUACAUUUCCCAACUGAUUUGUGAGGGUGGUUAGGACUCAUACAAGUGCAAAGAAUUACCUUUAUCUGGAUUUAAAUAUUAUUUUAUGUUAAUUACUGGUUAUUCCUUUAAGAUAAGUAAAAUAGACGUUCGUUUUUA